rnacentral:lncRNA from 1 species
GCACUCAGUCAGCUCCCUUGCUCAUGAGGUGCUUGAUUUGUUGGUCGUGUAAACGAAUUCGAGCACUGGUAAAAACAGUGAUCAUAACAUAAGCUUGAACAAUAUAUUUUUUAGCAGAACAAUACGUUUUAAAAAGUAUUUUAUAGCUAAAAAAAAGUGAUUGUUUCAUAUACAGUUCAUUAAGAUGCAUAGUGAGCAUUGAUACACCCAUAUAUUCAUGGUGCAUUGUGUGACUUUUCAGGAAGUGAAUGUUUCAGUACACUGGAAGAAUUUUUGUGAUUGAAACAGCACUUGUGAUGCAAAAAUUAUUAUUAACAAUUAGCAAUGUUUACAGCCCUGCUGAAAAAUCCAGCUUGAACCAGCCUAGG